rnacentral:rRNA from 1 species
CUCUGUGACUCCUACGGGGAGGCAGCAGUGGGGAAUAUUGCACAAUGGGGGAAACCCUGAUGCAGCCAUGCCGCGUGUGUGAAGAAGGCCUUCGGGGUUGUAAAGCACUUUCAGUAGGGAGGAAGGUAGUGUAGUUAACACCUGCAUUAUUUGACGUUACCUACAGAAGAAGCACCGGCUAACUCCGUGCCAGCAGCCGCGGUAAUACGGAGGGUGCGAGCGUUAAUCGGAAUUACUGGGCGUAAAGCGCAUGCAGGCGGCCUGUUAAGUCAGAUGUGAAAGCCCGGGGCUUAACCUCGGAAUUGCAUUGAAACUGGCAGGCUAGAGUCUUGUAGAGGGGGGUAGGAAUUUCAGGUGUAGCGGUGAAAUGCGUAGAGAUCUGAAGGAAUACCAGUGGCGAAGGCGGCCCCCUGGACAAAGACUGACGCUCAGAUGCGAAAGCGUGGGGAGCAAACAGGAUUAGAUACCCUGGUAG